AUUGAACGCUGGCGGCAUGCUUUACACAUGCAAGUCGGACGAGUGGCGAACGGGUGAGUAACAUAUCGGAACGUACCUAGUAAUGGGGGAUAACUAAUCGAAAGGUUAGCUAAUACCGCAUACUAUUCGAUCGGCCGAGAUCGGAUUAGCUGGUGGGUGGGGUAACGGCCUACCAAGGCGACGAUCAGUAGCGGGUCUGAGAGGAUGACCCGCCACACUGGAACUGAGACACGGCCCAGACUCCUACGGGAGGCAGCAGUGGGGAAUAUUGGACAAUGGGCGCAAGCCUGAUGCAGCCAUGCCGCGUGUAUGAAGAAGGCCUUCGGGUUGUAAAGGACUUUUGUCAGGGAAGCGGUACCUGAAGAAUAAGCACCGGCUAACUACGUGCCAGCAGCCGCGGUAAUAC
rnacentral:rRNA from 1 species